rnacentral:misc_RNA from 1 species
GCAAACUUGGUCAUUUAGAGGAAGUAAAAGUCGUAACAAGGUCUCCGUUGGUGAACCAGCGGAGGGAUCAUUACUGAGUUAUACAACUCCAAACCUUUGCGAACAAACUACUGUUGCUUCGGCGGCCUCGUCCCGGGCGCGUUCAGCGUGUCCCGGUCCAAGGCGACCGCCGGAGGCACCAAACUCUUGUCUUUACAGUGAAUUUCUGAGUGGCAUAAGCAAAUAAAUCAAAACUUUCAGCAACGGAUCUCUUGGUUCUGGCAUCGAUGAAGAACGCAGC